rnacentral:sRNA from 1 species
CUGUCGUUUGACGUCCACGUUCGUGCCCGC